rnacentral:rRNA from 1 species
ACCCGCACAAGCAGCGGAGCGUGUGGUUUAAUUCGAGGCUACACGAAGAACCUUACCAGGGUUUGACAUGCAAGUGGUAGGAAUCCGAAAGGUGACCGACCCUUCGGGGAGCUUGCACAGGUGCUGCAUGGCUGUCGUCAGCUCGUGUCGUGAGAUGUUCGGUUAAGUCCGCUAACGAGCGCAACCCUCGUCGUGUGUUAUACGUGUCACACGAUACUGCCGGUAUCAAGCCGGAGGAAGGUGGGGAUGAUGUCAAGUCAGCAUGGCCUUUAUAUCCUGGGCUACACACACGCUACAAUGGCAGAUACAAUAGGUUGCGAAACCGCGAGGUGGAGCCAAUCCUCAAAGUCUGUCUCAGUUCAGAUUGUAGGCUGCAACUCGCCUGCAUGAAGUUGGAGUUGCUAGUAAACGCAGGUCAGCUAUACUGCGUUGAAUACGUUCCCGGGGUUU